UACGGAGGGUGCAAGCGUUAUCCGGAUUCACUGGGUUUAAAGGGUGCGUAGGAGGGCAGGUAAGUCAGUGGUGAAAUCCCCGAGCUUAACUUGGGAACUGCCGUUGAUACUAUCUGUCUUGAAUACCGUGGAGGUGAGCGGAAUAUGUCAUGUAGCGGUGAAAUGCUUAGAUAUGACAUAGAACACCAAUUGCGAAGGCAGCUUACUACACAAUUAUUGACGCUGAGGCACGAAAGCGUGGGGAUCAAACAGG
rnacentral:rRNA from 1 species